AGGUGCCGUGGGCAGGCGCUGCGGCAGAAAUGUACUGGUUGUGUUGGAGAGCCUGUAGAAGCUGCGUCAAGGGUAAUCUACAUUGCGAGAGAGGCUUCGGGUAGUACGGGGCCAGUGGCGCAAUGGAUAACGCGUCUGACUACGGAUCAGAAGAUUCUAGGUGUCUGGCUCAAAGACCUGGGGAGGCCCGAAAAGUCUGCGGCUGAGAGGGGACUUGAAUCCGGGGAGUGGCUGAGACCUCGAACCCUGUCCAUUAACCACUCAAUCGAUCGGUUCAUCUGUCCAAUAUAACGUGUUUUCCUCCUGAGGGAAUCACAGAAAAUUUGUAAACUAUAGAAAAUUACUCGGAAUAAAAAUAAUGCCAGUUCUCCUCUCGA